CGUAGGGCCGAGCGUUGUCCGGAAUUACUGGGCGUAAAGCGCGCGCAGGCGGCUCGUCAAGCCUGACGUGAAAGCCCCCGGCUCAACCGGGAAGGGUCGUCGGGACUGGCGAGCUUGAGGUCGGCAGGGGUUGGUGGAAUUCCCGGUGUAGUGGUGAAAUGCGUAGAGAUCGGGAGGAACACCCGUGGCGAAGGCGGCCAACUGGGCCGAACCUGACGCUGAGGCGCGAAGGCGUGGGGAGCGAACGGGAUU
rnacentral:rRNA from 1 species